GAGUGGACCAACGGGAGUAACNNCGCCGCGUGGACAACCGUGCACCAUCCAGGGAGAUAACGCUUGGAAACGGGUGCUAAUACCCUCCAACUGUCGAAACCGCAUGGUAUCUAUUUGAAAGGCACUUUACCGCGCCGCUGAUGGAUGGACCCGCGGUGCUUUAUCUACUUGGUGACGAAACGGCUCACCACUGCCACGAUGCCUAGCCGACCUGAGAGGGUGAUCCGCCCCAUAGUCACUGAGACGCCGCCCAAGCUCCUACUGGAGGCAUCAGCAAGGAAUCUUCGCCAAUGCACCACAGUCUGACCGACCAACUCCGCGUGAGUGACCACUGUUUUCGGAUCGUAAACCUCUGUUGUUAUACAAGAACAAGGGUGACAGUAACUGUUCACCCCUUGACGGUAUCUAACCAGAAAGCCGCGGCUAACUACGUGCCUUCUGCCGCGGAAAUACGUAGGUGGCAAGCGUUCUCCGCAUUUAUUGGGCGUAAAGCCAGCGCAGGCGGUCUCUUAAGUCUGAUGUGAAAGCCCNCGGCUCAACCGGAGACGGUCAUUGCAAACUGGGAGACUUGAUUGCAGAAUAUGAGAGUGGAAUUCCAUGUGUAGCGCUGAANUGCGUAGAUAUAUGGAGGAACACCAGUGGCGAACAGCGGCUCUCUGCUCUGUAACUGACCCUGAGGCUCCAUACCGUGGGNAGCAAACACGAUUAGAUACCCUGGUACUCCACUCCCUACACCAUGAGUGCUAANUGUUGUAGGCCUUCCUGCCGUUCAGUGCUGCAGCUAACGCAUUAAACACUCCGCCUGGGGGAGUACGACCACCAGGUUGAAACUCAAAGUAAUUCACGGGGGCCCGCACAACCUUAGAAGCAUGUGGAUUAA
rnacentral:rRNA from 1 species